rnacentral:rRNA from 1 species
AGAGUUCGAUUAUGGCUCAGGACGAACGCUGGCGGCGCGCCUAACACAUGCAAGUCGAACGAGAGAGAGGGAGCUUGCUUCCUUGAUCGAGUGGCGAACGGGUGAGUAACGCGUGAGGAACCUGCCCCAAAGAGGGGGACAACAGUUGGAAACGACUGCUAAUACCGCAUAAGCCCACGACCCGGCAUCGGGUUGAGGGAAAAGGAGCAAUCCGCUUUGAGAUGGCCUCGCGUCCGAUUAGCUAGUUGGUGAGGUAACGGCCCACCAAGGCAACGAUCAGUAGGGGUUCUGAGAGGAAGGUCCCCCACAUUGGAACUGAGACACGGUCCAA